rnacentral:misc_RNA from 1 species
GAUGAAGAACGUAGCGAAAUGCGAUAAGUAAUGUGAAUUGCAGAAUUCAGUGAAUCAUCGAAUCUUUGAACGCACAUUGCGCCCGCCAGUAUUCUGGCGGGCAUGCCUGUUCGAGCGUCAUUUCAACCAUCAAGCCCCAGGCUUGUGUUGGGGACCUGCGGCUGCCGCAGGCCCUGAAAACCAGUGGCGGGCUCGCUGUCACACCGGGCGUAGUAGAUUUUAUCUCGCUCUGGGCGUGCUGCGGGUUCCGGCCGUUAAAAAACCCUUUUAACCCAAGGUUGACCUCGGAUCAGGUAGGAGUACCCGCUGAACUUAAGCAUAUCAAUAAGCGGAGGA